ACUACAAGAAAUUUAGCAUUUUGCGACCCCUAAUUUGCGACCCUUGCUCUAAAACUGCCUCAGAUGUCAUUUUGAGGCAGUUGCUGCGACAGUUUUUCCUAACAGCCGCAAGGUUUUAAGUGAUUUUCCACAUAAGCUCUACCAAUUACUCAAUCACAAUUGAGGCAGUUGCUGCUUCUGCAUGUAGUUUCUCCGAUUCAUCACAAGGUUCGUGUGAUUCUCAGUUUUUUCGUUCUCAAUUUUGAUUCUCAGUUUUGUAGUUCAUUCAUUACUUCGCGACAUUUUUCAGCUUCUGCAUGUAAUUGAAUCUAUGUAAUUUCUUGAUUUCAGAUUUACGUUCUCAGUUGUGGGCAAUUUGGUUUCGUCGUCGAGUUUCGUGUUGUUCGUAUCUCAGCUACUUCACUUUACAAAGGUAAAAUUUAUUCAUUUGAAUCUUUGUUAUUGGUAUAGAAAAAAUCGAGAAAUUACUUGAAAUAGAAAUAAGAUUUUUGUUGAAUCUUAGUUUGGAUUGUUUGCUUGGUUUGUUUUGCUUGUUUCUAUUUCUCUUUUUUUAUCAAAAAAGGGUAUCACAUAAUGCUUUUGAUUUUGGAUCUGUUGCAUUUUUCUGUGAAAUUUUGGUUUUUAAUCAUACCCUUUUGGUAUUUGCUGCUACUAUUUGGUGCUCUAAAGGUGUGUUUAUGCGUCGUUAAUUUGUGGUUAGACCAGACAACUUGCUUCACUAUUGAUAUUGAUUUUCAAAUGAAAGAGUUGCUUGAUUUGUGUUCUUAUAACAGGUAGAAAUUAGAACUAAACACUAUACUACAAUGAUAUCAUGUCAGAUGCUUUCUAUACCACGCAAUGGUAGUUUUAGGACAAUUUUAUAUCUUUGAAUUUCCAAUUUAAUCUUAACACGAAACUUGUUUUGUGGGUUGUUUUGUUUGAGUAACUUACUGGUUUGGUCAUGUAUUGUAAAAUUGUUUGCUAUAAUUUAAUUUUAUUUCUGUUAUUAACUCGAGUCUUCGAAUGUUACGUGCUUAAUCUAUGUAAUGUUUGAUGCACCACAGUGGUUCAAAUGUCAUAGACUUUUCUGAUUUUGUGCACUAAAGCAUUUGUUAUUGCUGCAAGCUCAAGUGAACUUUUUUAUGAAAUGAAUUAACAUGAUCUAGUAUUGCGCAAGAUAAAUCUUCAUAAUUUUGAGAUAAGUUAAUUUGUUUCUUUGAGACCAGAGAGUUUCUAGUUCCAAACAAAAGAGGAUGGUAAAAAAAACAAAGGUGAAGAAGAUGACGUCUUGGCACCAUACUCAAGUACUUGCGCAAAAGUGGAAUCAUGCACAGUGACAAUGCACCAAUGUCCUAUUGGUCAUUUCCGUCACGAAAUUCUUGUAAGUUGUCUGGAUAUAUUGCUUUUCGCUUUAUGUAUUUAUUUGUUUACGCUAAGUCGAUCUUGUAUUUAAGAGCAUGCAGCUGUGUUGAAUACAAUACUCAACAACUAUUGAUAUGUGGUCUCUUUAUUGUAUAGUGGGAGAUGGUGUGAGUCUUGUAUUUUAAUAA
rnacentral:lncRNA from 1 species